UGGGGAAUAUUGCACAAUGGACGGAAGUCUGAUGCAGCAACGCCGCGUGCGGGAUGACGGCCUUCGGGUUGUAAACCGCUUUUUCUCAUGACGAAGUUUUUUGACGGUAGUGGGGGAAGAAGCUCCGGCUAAAUACGUGCCAGCAGCCGCGGUAAUACGUAUGGAGCGAGCGUUGUCCGGAAUUAUUGGGCGUAAAGGGUGCGCAGGCGGCUUUACAAGUUGGAUGUGAAAUAUUGUGGCUCAACCACAAACGUGCAUCCAAAACUGCAAAGCUUGAGUUAAGGAGAGGUAAGUGGAAUUCCUGGUGUAGCGGUGGAAUGCGUAGAUAUCAGGAGGAAUACCGGUGGCGAAGGCGACUUACUGGACUUAAACUGACGCUCAGGCACGAAAGCGUGGGGAGCAAACAGG
rnacentral:rRNA from 1 species